AUUGAACGCUGGCGGCAGGCCUAACACAUGCAAGUCGGACGGUAGCACAGAGGAGCUUGCUCUUCGGGUGACGAGUGGCGGACGGGUGAGUAAUGUCUGGGGAUCUGCCCGAUAGAGGGGGAUAACCACUGGAAACGGUGGCUAAUACCGCAUAACGUCGCAAGACCAAAGAGGGGGACCUUCGCGCCUCUCACUAUCGGAUGAACCCAGAUGGGAUUAGCUAGUAGGCGGGGUAACGGCCCACCUAGGCGACGAGCCCUAGCUGGUCUGAGAGGAUGACCAGCCACACUGGAACUGAGACACGGUCCAGACUCCUACGGGAGGCAGCAGUGGGGAAUAUUGCACAAUGGGCGCAAGCCUGAUGCAGCCAGGCCGCGUGUAUGAAGAAGGCCUUCGGGUUGUAAAGUACUUUCAGCGGGGAGGAAGGCGAUGUGGUUAAUAACCGCGUCGAUUGACGUUACCCGCAGAAGAAGCACCGGCUAACUCCGUGCCAGCCGCCGCAGUAA
rnacentral:rRNA from 1 species